ACAUGGAAACUACCGCUAUAGCUGAUGGAGAUCAAAUGACAAACAUUAAAGAAAAUAUUGCUGAUAUGUUAUGGGCAAAUCACAAUACUACUCAUUAAACUGUUGUUAGUUUUAUUUCUGUUUUAUUUGGAUAUUUGUUUUUAUUUUUUUUUCAGAUUGUAAAACUAUUUAGAAAAAUAAUCUGUACAAUAUAUUAAUUGUUUUAUAUAAUAAUUUUAUUGAAUUUU
rnacentral:lncRNA from 1 species